rnacentral:lncRNA from 1 species
AACAAAGUAAAUUGGUCAUGUGACCGACACGUGCCGUGAUUCAUUAUGUGCGCAUGUGCGACGUUUUAAAUUUCCGCGGAAAUCUCUAAAUAUUCAAGAAGUAAAUAAUCACGAGGGUGCGGUCAAGUAGAAAAACACCUGACGACAACAAAUAGCUGCAGCUGCGAUGGAGGCUUCCCAGCCAGUUCUCAGCCACAGGCUCCAGCUCAGGCCGACUGAGACGCGUCUACUCACCAGCAACAAUGAGCGACUGAGGCCAGAACAAGGAAACAAUGGAGAUGGUCAUUGCUGAGUUAAUUAUGUGCUUUAUCAACAAGCAGGUGUUUCUAAGCAAUAAUCCACUUCUCACCUGUAAGAAAUAAUUUUGUGCAGGAGUUUUACUAAUAUUAAAGAACAUGGCGGAAUCUCCAUCGCGUUCCUCAAUUGCGUAGAUCUGUUCAAACGGCGGAAUGGCUCGUUAGCCUCCACCGCUGCCGGAGGAUCCCAGAUUCCCUCGUUCAUCCCCGAACCCGCGC